rnacentral:rRNA from 1 species
GAUGAACGCUAGCGGCAGGCCUAACACAUGCAAGUCGAGGGGCAUCGCGGUGCAGCAAUGCACUGGCGGCGACCGGCGUACGGGUGCGUAACGCGUAUGCAACCUGCCCCGCACCGGGGGAUAGCCCGCCGAAAGGCGGAUUAAUACCCCAUGGCCCCGGGGGCCCGCAUGGGCAUCCGGGUAAAGCCUUGGCGGUGCGGGAUGGGCAUGCGUGCCAUUAGCUGGCUGGUGGGGUAACGGCCCACCAGGGCAACGAUGGCUAGGGGGUCUGAGAGGAUGGUCCCCCACACUGGUACUGAGACACGGACCAGACUCCUACGGGAGGCAGCAGUGAGGAAUAUUGGUCAAUGGGCGGAAGCCUGAACCAGCCAUGCCGCGUGCGGGAUGAAGGCCCUACGGGUUGUAAACCGCUUUUCCCCGGGAAGAACUAAGCCCCCGCGGGGGUGAGUGCCGGUACCGGGGAAUAAGGAUCGGCUAACUCCGUGCCCAGCAGCCGCGGUAAAGUGUGUGUA